rnacentral:lncRNA from 1 species
UCAGCCUUCUUGCAAAAGACAUAUUUCACGCCUUCCACCCACUAAGAUGCUGAUCAACCUUAUCCAAGAUAAAUUGAAAAGAAUUUCUACUAACUCUAUUACGAAAGAAGGGAACCCCAAGGUACUUCUUAAGAUCAUCAGUCAUUUGAAAAUGAGAAACUUCGUAGAGUUAUUGCUUCAUAUUAUGAGAGACAUUUGUAGAGAAGAUCUUCUAACCUUUGCCACAUUGGCCAAAUGAAAAAGUCUCUCCAAGCAAAGGACGAAUAAAUAAGGUGAUAGAGGUUCUCUCUGGCAAAUACCCCUUAAAGAAGAAAAUUCCUCUGAGGCUUCCCAUUCCAUAGAACCCACGUUCUUUGAAGUAGUAAUACAUUGCUAAACAAGGGACUCAAAGUAUUCGGACAUCCCAAUGUUGACAAGUGUAUCCUUGACAAAGAUAAUGAAAGAAAUGGAGAGGAUUUUGAUUAAAAAAAAAUGAGUAGCUGAA